GACAAAAUUAAGAAGAAAAGUGAAAAGAUCCAGAACUUUUUACAAAGAAAAGAGAAACAACUUAGCUAACAAACCUCUAAUUAAUUCACAUGUGAAAAUGUAUCAAUCUUAUCACUCUUCUAAAAUAGCACUCAGCUUAUUGUUAAAUUUCCUUACUCUGCCACCGCCACCACCCCCCAUCCUCCUCCUUGCCACCAGUCCUCCACUAUAAC
rnacentral:misc_RNA from 1 species